ensembl:lncRNA
GCCCGCCCUCAGAAGAUGGCGGUUCCCUCCGGAUCCCCCCCGGCUGCGUGAGGGGAGGGGCGGGCGCUCCCAGGGCCGCGUCCCGCCUUGUGAUCUAACAACGGCAACCGGCACGGAGCCGAGGGCGGGAGGGGGAGCGGUGCGGAGCCCAUCUGGUGCGGAAAGCGGCCCCUCGGGCUGCGGGCAGGUAGCGGGGCGCUGCCACUCGCACGUGUCGGCGGCAGAACGGCAUUUCUUCAGCGAGGUUUGCGGUACGGUUUCAAAGGAGCCAAAGGAAAGUCUGAGAAAUGCUGUCACGGUCCCAAGAGGCUGCCCUCCAGAGCUGCUCUCCUCAUGAUGCCUCAGGCUGGACUGGGUUGUGUGGAUCAAGCUGCAGGCCCUUGAGCCAUCUCUAGAAUGCACAUUAGAUGGGAGUCCCUCAGGGCUACCAACAGCUAAAGACUUACCUUGCUGCAGUCCCAAUAAGGCUGUUCUAGCAAUCCUGCUGUACAGAUUGUGUUUCCACUGCAUGAGCUGCCUCUUUACUCUCUGUCGUUAUCCGUAACCACCACAACCUCCGGGUCUCUGCUCUUAUAAACCAUCCUGCUAACACGAGUGGAGGAGAGCAAUAUCAGAAGGGGGAGACUCAGUCUCUUCUGAGAAAUUACAGAACUACCAUUCAGCCCCAGAAUCAGCAGAGUACCCCGCAUUCAGGUGGCAGGAAUGACAUGGAAGUCAUCUGAAUCAUGUUUAGGAAUGAAGAGACAAAGUGAAGAGAGAAGAUAUGUUUUUGGAUUCAGGAAUUUCUAGGAAAAGAAAAAAAGAAGAAAAACUGUAUUAUUUUUGGACCCAAAGGACCUUUAUUUCUCUCUUAAAUUUUCUGUCAAAGAGAGACUCCUCAAAGUCAGUUGUGAAAACAACAGUGCUCAUUACCCCACUGGAAUUUAUAAGCUGGACAGGGAACCUGAAGGUUGUCUCUCUUCAAAGAGACAAUUCAAAAUACUAUGAAAUCCUAGGAAAUUAAAUGCAGUUCUGUCUGGCAGGAUAGAGGAGGAACUGUCAAAAAAGGGAACUAAAACUGCUGUUACCUGCUUUUAACAUGUUAUAUAGAAGUUCGGAGUUUCCUCACUGCGGUGAGGCUAGGCUUGAAACAAAUAGAAUUGAACAGAAAACAUACCCUGAUUGGUCUCCUGUAGUCAGUCUUCCAAUCAAGACUGAAGCAUGCAAUCAUCUACUUGGUGAAUGUCUGAUUUAAAGGAUGAGAUCAUUUCUGUUGGAUGUCCAGCUGUUAAAGAAUCUGCAUCUCUUUUUAAGAAGCUCAAGAGGAAAACACAGCGUCCUUGCCAGAAAAACAAUCAGAUAAUAAGAUUGGAUUUUCUUUAAUUGGGAAGAAAAGAGUCAGACAUGAUGUGAUGUGGGGAUGAAUCAGCACAAACAAGAAUGUCUGUGACCCAGAAUUCUUUAAUGUUGAAAUGACUGCCAUAUUGUGUGUGGAAUUACUUUUAGUUCUUGCACUCGAGUUUUCCAUCUUCACUGCACCAUGUAGCCAAUAUGCUGUAUUUCCACGCUGUGCUAAUUCUGAGGAUUUUAUCACAAGUCCCUUGACAGAUGUUUACCUUCCUAGGGCUUAACUCUCAAACUAAGGAAAAGAGACCAAUCUUGGUUAACAUUUUAUGUGAAGGUUCGUUUCUGAUCACUCUGUCUACA